rnacentral:rRNA from 1 species
CAUAAUCAUUAGUUUUUUAAUUGAAAACUUGUAUGAAAGGUUAAACAAAAAAAUUUCUGUCUCUUAUUUAAAAAUUGAAAUUAACUUUUAAGUGAAAAGGCUUAAAUUUUUUAAGGGGACGAUAAGACCCUAUAAAGUUUAAUAAAAAGGUAAGUUUUUUUAAAAAAGAGUAUAAAAUGAAAAAUUAUAUUUUUAUUUUGCUGGGGCGGUACAGAUAUAAAUAAAUUGAUAACUGUCAGAAUUGUAAACAUAUAUAGGUGAUUAAUAAGAUCCUAAAUAAAGAUUAUAAGACUAAGUUACUUUAGGGAUAACAGCUUAAUUUUUUUUAAGAGUUCAUAUCGAAAGAAAAGUUUGAGACCUCGAUGUUGAAUUAAAAUAACUUUAUGGUGCAGCUGCUGUAUAAA